AAGACUGACACUAUUAGCUGGGAAUCCGACACUGCCUUCUAAUGCUUUAUCUUAUAUCAUAAAGAAAACCACUUAUACUAGCAAGACCUUAACUCUAAACUGGGACUUACACCAACUCUGACUUUGAUUCCCGGACUUAGCCCUUGCAUUCUGACUUACACCAACAUAGGGGUUAGCCUAUCUACAUUCCCUUUGACCUUUGAUUCCGAAACUCACUCUCGAUCUAACAUCUUACUUUAUUAUAGGUUUAGUCUGCUGCUUGCCC
rnacentral:lncRNA from 1 species